GACGAACCGUCCGAACGUUAUUCGGAAUCACUGGGCUUAAAGGGUGCGUAGGCGGCGCGGAAAGUUGGGUGUGAAAUCCCUCGGCUUAACCGAGGAACUGCGCCCGAUACUGCAGUGCUCGAGGGAGACAGAGGUGAGCGGAACUGAUGGUGGAGCGGUGAAAUGCGUUGAUAUCAUCAGGAACACCGGUGGCGAAAGCGGCUCACUGGGUCUCUUCUGACGCUGAGGCACGAAAGCUAGGGUAGCGAACGGG
rnacentral:rRNA from 1 species